rnacentral:lncRNA from 1 species
UUGUUUUAUUUGGCAUAAAUUACUGGUUUGCUUGUUUGUGAGUGAUUUGAUGAUGCUGACUGAGGAAAAAGGGGAAUGAAAGGUUAUGUAAAUUGAUAAUUUUAUAAUGUGGUCAGCCUGACUAGAUAUCCUGGGAGAUGGUGGACGGACCGGAUCCGUAGGGAACCCUACCGGGAUUAUGGUCUCUCAUACUGGACGGGGU